AGUACGGCGAGUGAAGAGGGAAAAGCUCAAGUUUGGAAGCUUCGUGGCAUAGCUACGACGCGUUGUAAACUGAAGUUUUUUGGGUGAUUGGGCGACCGGAUAAAUAAGUCCUUUGGAAAGGGGCAACAUAGAGGGUGACAUUCCCGUCUUUGGUCCGAGUCAGUGCAGUCGCUGCCCAGGAAACGACGAGUCAGGUUGUUUGGGAAUGCAGCCUAAAAUGGGAGGUAAAUCUCUCCUAAAGCUAAAUACUGGCGUAAGACCGAUAGCGAACAAGUACCGUGAGGGAAAGAUGAAAAGGACUUUGAAAAGAGGGUCAAAUAGUACGUGAAAUUGUUGAAAGGGAACCGUAUGAAAGUAGACUGGCUUGGUGAUGAUCAAUGUGUGUUUCGGCACGCAUGCACUCAUUGCCUUUGCCAGCCAGCGGCAGUUUUUGCUAAAGGAAGAAAAUCAGGGGAAUGUAGCUUCGAUUUCGGUUGAAGUGUUAUAGCUCCUGGUAAAAUACUUUGGCAGAGACUGAGGCUAGCAGCGGAUCUUUGGGAACUUUGCGCGCUUGUCGUCCAAUGGUUAAGUUUUCUUCGGAUGCUUGGUCAUUGGGUGGCAACUCGUGUGAUGCUUCACCCUUCCGCUUAGGUCG
rnacentral:rRNA from 1 species